rnacentral:rRNA from 1 species
CUUGGUCAUUUAGAGGAAGUAAAAGUCGUAACAAGGUUUCCGUAGGUGAACCUGCGGAAGGAUCAUUACAGAGUUCAUGCCCCUCGGGGUAGACCUCCCACCCUUUGUAUACAUUGCCUUUGUUGCUUUGGCGGGCCGCCGCGCCCGCGUCCACCGGCUUCGGCUGGUGUGCGCCCGCCAGAGAACCCCCAAACCCUGUUUUACAGUGUCGUCCGAGUACUAUAUAAUAGUUAAAACUUUCAACAACGGAUCUCUUGGUUCUGGCAUCGAUGAAGAACGCAGCGAAAUGCGAUAAUUAAUGUGAAUUGCAGAAUUUAGUGAAUCAUCGAAUCUUUGAACGCACAUUGCGCCCCUUGGUAUUCCGGGGGGCAUGCCUGUUCGAGCGUCAUUUCAACCCUCAAGCUCUGCUUGGUCUUGGGCCGCGCCGGCAACGGCGGGCCUCAAAAACAGUGGUGGCGCCAUCGUGUCCCUCAGCGUAGUAAUUCUUCUCGCUGUUGGUGCCCGGUGGCCGCUGGCCAGCAACCCCAAAUUUUUCUAUGGUUGACCUCGGAUCAGGUAGGGAUACCCGCUGAACUUAAGCAUAUCAAUAAGCGGAGGA